ensembl:lncRNA
UUUUGUUGUUUUUUAAUAAACCUUUGUUUUUAUUAGUCUUAUGGAUUAAAUUUCCAAAAAGGAUGUUUUCGUUCCAUAGGUGACAGUUUUACAGUGAUCGGGCUCCACGUAAGAGUAUAUGACAUGCAAUUAAAGAAAAAAAACAACAACAUAAGAACUCAUAUUUUACAUUCUUAACCUCUGCCCCCUGAAAUGAGUCAUUAUUCAACCUGAAUUAAAAAUAAAGACCCUCUCGUUUAGACUUUUGGAGAUUUUUUUUAAAAAGGUUUUUCUUCAGUUCCUUACAAAUUUUCUUAUCAGCAGUUUCCAGUGAUCAUCACGCCAUUCUCUCUCCAGAUGGAGUCUGCUUUUCAGAGAGUAAAGACAGCAUGAGUGGUGACCAGAACAAGGUCACAUAAUCAAUAACCUGGCGAACAUCACUCGAGCCCUUCUAACGUAGCAUUCAGAAGGCUGGCAGGCAGGUAAAGUAAACUGUCAUGGAAAGUAGAUGCCAUAGCAGUUGCCAGUAUAACAUUUCAACUUAUCCUAGUGCAAAUGCCAAAAAAGUCAGGAAUGUAUUUCUGUUCACAGUUACAGCUAAUGAGAGUUCACCAGUCACAAGUAAACUCGGUGACUAAGUACUAAGUACAGCACAUUCACUUUCAUUUCUACAGUCACUGGCAGGAUUCAGCAGGGCAGUUCAUAUGCAUAAGCUUAUGUGAAAAUGUUACAGACAAGACAAAUGUUAUGACAUCUUUCACAAAGUCCAGCCUCAGAGUUGAUUGAACAAUAAAGUUUAGGUUAAUUCUAAGAUAUUCUCUCCAUCUCUAUCAUUCAUUACACUUAAUAAAGAUAUAUUUAGGAUGUAAACAUCUAUGGCAUGUCUUUUGGACUCUGCCGGUAUGGAUUCUUUGUGCUGUCAUUUUCUAAUAGUCACGAGAAAUCACCAAACCCGAUGAACAUUUUUUUGUCCUUUUUUGGGGGGCGUGGGGGUGAUGGACUGUGGUUUUGAAUGACAGUUCCAAGCCUAUUAUGUAUAUCUAAUGUUUCUGGGCUCCUGACAACAGAAUUUGAUAAUCCAGGUUUUCAGACGCAGUCUCCAAUAAAAACGGUUCCAUCUUUCUGAGUUAAGAUGUUUCAGAGAAAUAUCAGCCAGGACUUGAUGGAGCUUUUUAAAGCAUUUGAGACUUUUCAUGUAUAAUUUUCAUUGCUCUCAUUCACCUACAUUUAUUUCUAUUUUACCGUAACUUUUACAAGUAUUCCCUGUAAAACAUUCACUCUGGAUUAUUCUGUGUAUAAUAAAGAAAGAAAAAAACGCCUCGCUUUUACAUUUUCAUCUAUGAAACCAAGGAUUUUGUUAAACUGAACAGCUCCACAAACACGUGUAUAUCAUGCAACCAGAAUGAGUUCAAACAGCAGCACGUCACGCACGGACAUGCACAGGUGCGACAGAUGAGUUACUGCUUACCUGACGUAAAGAUGACAUGGCAAUAGCCCUUUUCAAAGGCAAUUCACAUGCUGUGAUGCCUCGAAAUGAGUCCCGCUGAGAGACUAUUUUACAUACAGAGGAUGUAUGGCUGUAGUUUCCAUGAAGGGCCAGUAACCAAAGCCAUGUCCAUAAUUCUACCCGCUAUGGUGGGGGGCUUACUCUGUUCUCGCAGAGGUGCACGUGGCCCGGCUUUGGGUGAUGUGGGAAUAAUUUUUUUAUGUAAAUAAUCAAAACUAUCAAGAUGAUGUUCCUCAUGCCACCUAACUGAAG